AGCAUACACUGACACAGCUUGCAUGUACUGUAACAGGGUGGAGGUGCCUCCAUAAAGUCAACUACAGUAAUCAUAUGAUUUGUAACUGUCAUCUUAUUGGUCCGUCUGAAUUAUUGUUUGUUAUGAUUAGUUGCAGUUAUCACUCUGGAGAAUGCACUUCCACUUGGGGGUAUUCAUUAGUCGGAUUCCGUUGCAAAACGUUUUGAACCUAAAAUCUCACGUAAACCCUGUCCACAAUAGAUACAUUCUUAGUUCACCCAAAUUACAAAAUGACAUUUGUGUCAAUACCCUGUAAGCAGUCUAUGGUAUGACCGCAAUCAAUGUUUUAGUUAAGUUUCCCUGGCACUGUUUCCAAAUUCAUUUGUGACACAAAUCCCAUGUAGCAUGUUCAAAUCAUCUAUAAGUGACUUUGAUGAGCUUCAGAAUCAAUUUGAGAUACUUUCAGAUGAUUUGGACGUGAUGCGCAAAAAAAAUGCAAACAUCGGUCCCAUGACUUGAAUGUGGUUUGUGCCACAAAUGCUAAAAGGUUAGAAACGAAACCAAAGCAAGGGAAAUAAAACCAAGGCGUGGAUUGCUGUCAUACCUUACAAGCCGUAGCCUACAAAGGUCCUUCACCGCCACCUGCUGUUCGAAACCCCACGAAACACAGGCGCUCCUCUCCAAUGAGUGAGUAUCAACCUCUAUAGUGGUCUCCAUUCUCUACGAACCAGUUAGUCGACAGAGAAGCCAUUCUUCUGGAGGAGACUGUGGUGGGAGGCUGAAAAGAUGUCUGGAGUUGCAGAUGUGAACAUUGGGAUGUUUCCCUCACAUAACCAGACCAGCGCUACUCUGUCCAGCAGAGAUCUUCAUUUACAUUUUAUAUAGCACUAAUAAAGCUGUACAUGGGUGGAAACAGA